GUUCAGGUCUACAGAGUCCCAGUCUGGUUCAGGUCUACAGGUCUACAGGUCUACAGAGUCUCAGUCUGGUUCAGGUCUACAGAGUCUCAGUCUGGUUCAGGUCUACAGAGUCCCAGUCUGGUUCAGGUCUACAGAGUCUCAGUCUGGUUCAGGUCUACAGAGUCCCAGUCUGGUUCAGGUCUACAGAGUCUCAGUCUGGUUCAGGUCUACAGAG